rnacentral:rRNA from 1 species
UGGGGAUUAUUGCACAAUGGGGGAAACCCUGAUGCAGCGACGCCGCGUGAGCGAUGAAGGCUUUCGAGUCGUAAAGCUCUGUCCUAUGGGAAGAUAAUGACGGUACCAUAGAAGAAAGCCCCGGCUAAUUACGUGCCAGCAGCCGCGGUAAUACGUAAGGGGCGAGCGUUGUCCGGAAUUAUUGGGCGUAAAGAGUGCGUAGGCGGCAAAUUAAGUCAGAUGUGAAAACUAAGGGCUCAACCCAUAGAUUGCAUCUGAAACUGAUAUGCUUGAGUCAAGGAGAGGAAAGUGGAAUUCCUAGUGUAGCGGUGGAAUGCGUAGAUAUUAGGAGGAAUACCGGUGGCGAAGGCGACUUUCUGGACUUGAACUGACGCUGAGGCACGAAAGCGUGGGGAGCAAACAGG